rnacentral:rRNA from 1 species
GGAGGAUCCGAGCGUUAUCCGGAUUUAUUGGGUUUAAAGGGUGCGCAGGCGGGAUGUUAAGUCGGCGGUGAAAUUUUGCAGCUCAACUGUAAAAGUGCCUUCGAUACUGGCUUUCUUGAGUGUGGAUGAAGUAGGCGGAAUUUGUGGUGUAGCGGUGAAAUGCUUAGAUAUCACGAGGAACUCCGAUUGCGCAGGCAGCUUACUAAACCACUACUGACGCUCAUGCACGAAGGCGUGGGGAUCAAACAGGAUUAGAUACCCUGGUAGUCCACGCAGUAAACGAUGAUUACUAGUUGUUUGCGAUACAAUGUAAGCGACUGAGCGAAAGCGUUAAGUAAUCCACCUGGGGAGUACGUUCGCAAGAAUG